rnacentral:rRNA from 1 species
AGCCAUACCGCGUGGGUGAAGAAGGCCUUCGGGUUGUAAAGCCCUUUUGUUGGGAAAGAAAUCCAGCUGGUUAAUACCCGGUUGGGAUGACGGUACCCAAAGAAUAAGCACCGGCUAACUUCGUGCCAGCAGCCGCGGUAAUACGAAGGGUGCAAGCGUUACUCGGAAUUACUGGGCGUAAAGCGUGCGUAGGUGGUUGUUUAAGUCUGUUGUGAAAGCCCUGGGCUCAACCUGGGAACUGCAGUGGAUACUGGACAACUAGAGUGUGGUAGAGGGUAGCGGAAUUCCUGGUGUAGCAGUGAAAUGCGUAAAGAUCAGGAGGAACAUCCAUGGCGAAGGCAGCUACCUGGACCAACACUGACACUGAGGCACGAAAGCGUGGGGAGCAAACAGGAUUAGAUACCCUGGUAGUCCACGCCCUAAACGAUGCGAACUGGAUGUUGGGUGCAAUUUGGCACGCAGUAUCGAAGCUAACGCGUUAAGUUCGCCGCCUGGGGAGUACGGUCGCAAGACUGAAACUCAAAUGAAUUGACGGA